rfam:Mycoplasma sp. CAG:611_25_7 Ley3_66761_scaffold_8900, whole genome shotgun sequence.
AAUUUGAAUUUAUUGGUGCCAAAGACAGUAGGUUGUUAGUAAAUCCUACCGAGGACUUAAAAUAUGAGUAUUAAAGUCUUUGGGUUCAAAGACUUUUAAUUUAGGCAC